AUUGAACGCUGGCGGCAGGCCUAACACAUGCAAGUCGAACGAGUGGCGGACGGGUGAGUAAUGUCUGGGAAACUGCCUGAUGGAGGGGGAUAACUACUGGAAACGGUAGCUAAUACCGCAUACCAUAAGAUGAGCCCAGAUGGGAGUAGCUAGUUGGUGGGGUAACGGCGCACCAAGGCGACGAUCCCUAGCUGGUCUGAGAGGAUGACCAGCGACACUGGAACUGAGGCACGGUCCGUACUCCUACGUGAGGCAGCAGUGGGGAAUAUUGCACAAUGGGCGCAAGCCUGAUGCAGCCAUGCCGCGUGUAUGAAGAAGGCCUUCGGGUUGUAGAGUACUUUCAGCGGGGAGGCGUUACCCGCAGAAGAAGCACCGGCUAACUCCGUGCCAGCAGCCGCGGUAAUUC
rnacentral:rRNA from 1 species